rnacentral:rRNA from 1 species
GAUGAACGCUGACAGAAUGCUUAACACAUGCAAGUCGAUGGGGAAGUGGUGCUUGCACCAUGGCAACCAUGGCGGACGGGUGAGUAACGCGUAAGGGACUUACCUGCAGGACUGGGAUAACAGGGGGAAACUCCUGACAAGACCGGAUAAUGUCAUGGAGCUGCAUGGCUUUAUGAUGAAAGGAGACGCCUGCGGAGAGCCUUGCGUCCUAUUAGCUAGUUGGUGAGGUAAUGGCUCACCAAGGCGAAGAUAGGUAGCCGGCCUGAGAGGGUGGACGGCCACAAGGGGACUGAGAUACGGCCCUUACUCCUACGGGAGGCAGCAGUGGGGAAUAGUGGACAAUGGGGGCAACCCUGAUCCAGCAAUUCUGUGUGCACGAAGAAGGUUUUCGGAUUGUAAAGUGCUUUCAGCAGGGAAGAAGUAAGUGACGGUACCUGCAGAAGAAGCGACGGCUAAAUACGUG